GGGCUAAAGAGCAGGAAACAAGCUUGGG
rnacentral:piRNA from 1 species